ACCUGGCUGGCUCAGUUGGUGGGGCAUGCGACUCUUGAUCUCCGAGUUGUGAGUUCGAGCCCCAUGCUGGGUA
rnacentral:tRNA from 1 species